rnacentral:rRNA from 1 species
GACGAACGCUGACGGCGUGCUUAACACAUGCAAGUCGAAGGGAGUGGCGAACCGGUGAGUAACACGUGAGUAACCUGCCCUUUUCUUUGGGAUAAGCCUGUGAAACUGGGUCUAAUACUGUAUGGAUUGUGAUGGGCUCGCGGCUGAUCAGCUUGUUGGUGGGGUGAUGGAUUACCAAGGCUUUGACGGGGAGCCGGCGUGAGAGGGGGGUCGGUAACAAGGGGACUGAGAUACGGCCCAGACGCAUACGGGAGGAAGCAGUGGGGGAGAGUGCAAAAGGGACGAAAGUCUGAUGCAGCGACGUCGUGUGGGGGAUGAAGGCCUUCGGGUUGGAAACUCCUUUCGCCCGCGGAAGGGUAGUGGGUAAAGAAGCGCCGGCUAACUACGUGCCAGCAGCCGCGGUAAUAC